UUUAAAUGUAAAAUUUUAUUACUAAAGUAGUAUUAGUUAUGUUCUUGAAAUUUAAAGAUUUUGGCGGUAUUUUAGUCUAUUUAGAGGAACCUGUUCUGUAAUUGAUAAUCCACGAUUAAUUUUACUUAUUUUAUAAAUUUGUAUACCGUCGUUAUUAGAAAAUUUUAAUAGAAAAUAAAUUUUUAAUAUUUUAUAUUAAAAAAUAUAUCAGAUCAAGGUGCAGUAGAUAUUUAAGAAGAAAUGGGUUACAUUAAAAAUAUUUAUAUGGAUUAAAGUAAGAAUAAAUUUUAUAAAGGUGGAUUUAAUAGUAAUAAGAUUAAUUUAAAUUUUAUGAUUUUAGCUCUAAAAUAUGU
rnacentral:rRNA from 1 species